rnacentral:rRNA from 1 species
UACGUAGGGGGCAAGCGUUAUCCGGAAUUACUGGGUGUAAAGGGUGAGUAGGCGGCACGGCAAGUAAGAUGUGAAAGCCCACGGCUUAACUGUGGGAUUGCAUUUUAAACUGUUGAGCUAGAGUACAGGAGAGGAAAGCGGAAUUCCUAGUGUAGCGGUGAAAUGCGUAGAUAUUAGGAAGAACACCAGUGGCGAAGGCGGCUUUCUGGACUGGAAACUGACGCUGAGGCACGAAAGCGUGGGGAGCGAACAGG